GUGCACGUAACUUUCUCGCAUUAAGUUGCAAGGGGAGGGGAAUGGGUCCCCUCCGGUUGCGGGGCACGGAAGG
rnacentral:sRNA from 1 species